rnacentral:rRNA from 1 species
GUGGUUUAAUUCGAUGCAACGCGAAAACCUUACCCACCUUUGACAUGGCAGGAAUCCUGAAGAGAUUGGGAGUGCUCGAAAGAGAACCUGCACACAGGUGCUGCAUGGCUGUCGUCAGCUCGUGUCGUGAGAUGUUGGGUUAAGUCCCGCAACGAGCGCAACCCUUGCCAUUAGUUGCUACGAAAGGGCACUCUAAUGGGACUGCCGGUGACAAACCGGAGGAAGGCGGGGAUGACGUCAAGUCCUCAUGGCCCUUAUAGGUGGGGCUACACACGUCAUACAAUGGCCGGUACAGAGGGUAGCCAACCCGCGAGGGGGAGCCAAUCCCACAAAGCCGGUCGUAGUCCGGAUCGCAGUCUGCAACUCGACUGCGUGAAGUCGGAAUCGCUAGUAAUCGCGGAUCAGCAUGUCGCGGUGAAUACGUUCCCGGGUCUU